rnacentral:lncRNA from 1 species
AAGAGAGUGUUUAAGAAGUGAUUAAGAGAAGUUUGUGAAAGAUUAAGUGACUAGAUAGAGCCGUUUAGAGUCUAAGAGAGAACCAUAGUGUCUAAGAGAUUAGAAAGACUCAAACUGCAUAAUCUUAUUAAUGAGUGAGGUUACAUAUUUAUAUGGAAAGCAUAAGGGUUUACAAGAGGCGAAAUGGGCACUAUUGAAGCAUGUAGAGUCAAGGUUGCUUUCCGGAUGAUUGGAUGAUAAGG